UCAGAUGGUCGGAUGGUCGCUAUAUUUGAUUAAUUUAUCUUUUAUAGAGGAAAGUCCGGGCUCCAUGGAAACAGAGUGCCGGGUAAUACCCGGCGAGGGUGACCUUAGGGAAAGUGCCGCAGAAAGAAAACCGCCAAUUCAUUGGUAAGGGUGAAAGGGUGUGGUAAGAGCGCACCGCAUUAAUGGUAACAUUGAUGGCAGGGUAAACCCCGCUCGGAGCAAGACCAAAUAGAAGCAACAAUAUCUUAGAUAAUAAGGGUUUCCAAUUAGUUGCUUGGGUAGGUUGCAUGAGGUAUUCGGUGACGAAUAUCCUAGAUGAAUGACCAUCUUUCUGUAAAUCAGAAAACAGAACCCGGCUUAUAGACCAUCUGGCAAU
rnacentral:RNase_P_RNA from 2 species